rnacentral:ribozyme from 14 species
CGCAACACACAGGACAUACACACACGAACACAACAGACAGACAUUCAUACAUCGUAAAAAAAGCAAAACAACACCCAGCAACCCCUCAGAUUUUUUCUCACCACCGAUUGUUUCUUUUUGAUUCAUGCUGCUCUCUCUUAUUUUGUAUUUUCUGGUAGAGAGAGCGAGACGGGAGAAUGGA